CUUUACUUAUUCUGUGUAAACAUUGUGUUUACAAUAUAAGUACUUUUGUUUUUAAAAGUUUAUAACUUUUGGCGCAACUUUUAUUUAUAUUUUAGAUUUGAGCGGGGAGAUUAAUGUAUUGGUUUUACAAUGUUACAGCUGCAGAGUGAAUUCCCCGCACGAAUUAAAAUAUUUAAGUGUAUCUUAAUUCGUGAUUCCCCACUUAAUGAAUACAAUUAUUAACAUUAAUCCGUUAGAUAGUGACACGUGUGCAUCACUAUUCCCUGUUCGGUCAUUAAGAGCACG